CUGGAGGAGGGGGGAGGUCUCCUGGCCCAUUCUCCAGUGGUCUGUCCACGAUGCCAUGCUCUCUGCCGUGACAUCCAUUGGGUCACUGGAACAGAAGUCCUGAUGUCUCCUGCGGAAGCAUCUUGAGGAAGGCUGAGCUGGAAAGGUGCAGAACAGCACCGGAUGGUAAAGACCCGCAUCCGCAUUCUGUCUCUGAGCACCAGCUGGGCACUAACCUUGGGCAAAUGGACUUCACCUCUCGCUUUUCUCCUCUGAAAAAUGGAAAUAAGGCUAAUUACAAGUCCUACAUAUACUUUUAGGAUGAAGUGACCUCAGGUAGACAAGACAUUUAACGUGGUGCUUACAAGAAAUGCUUCCAGACCGAAGGGGAAGUGUCACCUGGGUGUAUCUCUGCCAGGAUCUGAUGGAAGGCCAACCCUUUCAGAAUCUUCACUCUAUGAUUUUGGAAAGGGAAGAGCCAGAAGGGACUUGAGGGGCUAUGAGACCUACUCUCUCCCUUGACCCAUUAGGUUGGGAUGCUGAGGCCCAAAGAGGCGGCUAUGAGACUAAGUUCCGGCCAAUGAGGUACAAGCAGUAGUGUCCUAUGUGACUUCUAGAAACAUCCUUUCAUUUCUUUUCCAUCCUGCUGGCUGGAUGUGGAGGUGAUGGCUGGAGCUUGAGCAGCUCUCAUGGAUGAUGAGGGGAAAGCCAUUUUGAAAACAGUAGAGCAUCAAGAUAAUGGCCCUGGACCCCUGGCUUUGCAGAACAUUAUGCAACCCCUAGAAUGUUUCAUCCGUGAGAGAAUAAAGCCAUGUGUUUAACAGCUA